CAGCAGGCUGGCACCAUCCUGGUGUCCGGAGCACCACGAGCUUUCUGGGGAGCAAGGGGCCCGGGCCGCGUGGCCGCAUGUUCCCCAGUGACCAGGAGCAGGUGCGUCCCACUCGCGUGGGUCUCUCCAGAGACGCGGUCACACGCUGUGCUGUCACCCGUAUAAAGUGCACGGGUCAGGGGCUUCUGCACAUGCCCAGCUAUGUGCCAGCAUCACCACCGGCCACUUCAGGAUGUCUUCGUUGCCCAGGAGAGAAGCCCUGCUACUCCAGGUGCGAGGCCUGGGUCCCGGCUCCCCUCCAGGAGGACACGGAUCUACCCACACUUCCAUCUUCUGGACAUUUCGUGGGAGAAGACUCUGCACGAUGUGGCCCUUGGUGUCUGGGUUCCCGCACACAGCGCCGUGUUUCUUUUUUUUUUUUCAGCGCCGUGUUUCUGAGGCUCAUCCGUGCUUUGUGCCUUCCCAAGGUCGCACCACGUGGGUACCCACCAGUCUGCAGGUGGACGUGUGUGUGUCUUCCGCCCCUGCUCUCGUGGACAGGGCCACAGGACCACUUGUGUGCAGGUGUCUCUAGGGACACACGUCUCGUUCUCUCGGGCCUCGUGUCUGUGGAUCUGUGUCCGUUUUGCUGCUUGUCUGUGCAGCUUGCUGCAGCACAUCCCCAAAGUUUACUGACCCCACAAUCUCAACGUGAAUUUCGUGGGCUGCAUCAUUUAAAUCCGCUGUCUUGCUCCCACGAGGUCACCUUCUGCGGUGACCGACCCUGAGUUCGGGACUCAGAGCUGCAAGCCUCCCACCUGCGCAGACCGCGGCCAGGAAGCACACUGGCCUCCAAGCCGCAAAUAACUUCCACCCCAUCGUACAAAUGUGAUUUGGGAGACAAUUAGCUCCGUGUCAAUCACGGAUAAUACUGGGAGGCAGGCUGGUGCCUGGGGGCCUCCUUAGAGCUGGAGAUGCGAGGGGCUGUCAGAUUAAAUUAAAGUUUACAACUCUUGAAGCUAAAUGGGG
rnacentral:lncRNA from 12 species